rnacentral:rRNA from 1 species
AACGCUGGCGGCGUGCCUAACACAUGCAAGUCGAGCGGGGACAUACGACGGAGCAGAAGUUUUCGGAUGGAAGCGAAGAUGUAUGUUCUAGCGGCGACGGGUGAGUAACGCGUGAGCAACCUGUCCUUCACAGGGGGAUAACACAGCGAAAGUUGUACUAAUACCGCAUAAGACCACAUUGGGACAUCCCAGAGGGGUCAAAGGAGCAAUCCGGUGAAGGGUGGGCUCGCGUCCGAUUAGAUAGUUGGUGAGGUAACGGCCCACCAAGUCGACGAUCGGUAGCCGACCUGAGAGGGUGAUCGGCCACAUUGGGACUGAGACACGGCCCAAACUCCUACGGGAGGCAGCAGUGGGGAAUAUUGGGCAAUGGGGGGAAACCCUGACCCAGCAACGCCGCGUGAGGGAAGAAGGUUUUCGGAUCGUAAACCUCUGUCCUUGGUGAAGAGUAAGAGACGGUAGCCAAGGAGGAAGCCCCGGCUAACUACGUGCCAGCCGCCGC